rnacentral:rRNA from 1 species
UACAGAGGUCUCAAGCGUUGUCCGGAAUCAUUGGGCGUAAAGAGCGUGUAGGCGGCCCGGUAAGUCCGCUGUGAAAGUCGGGGGCUCAACCCUCGAAUGCCGGUGGAUACUGUCGGGCUAGAGUGCGGAAGAGGCGAGUGGAAUUCCUGGUGUAGCGGUGAAAUGCGCAGAUAUCAGGAGGAACACCGAUUGCGAAGGCAGCUCGCUGGGACGUCACUGACGCUGAGACGCGAAAGCGUGGGGAGCAAACAGG